rnacentral:rRNA from 1 species
UGGGGAAUCUUGCACAAUGGGGGCAACCCUGAUGCAGCGACGCCGCGUGAGCGAUGAAGCCCUUCGGGGCGUAAAGCUCUUUCGACCGGAACGAUAAUGACGGUACCGGGAGAAGAAGCUGCGGCUAACUCCGUGCCAGCAGCCGCGGUAAUACGGAGGGUGCGAGCGUUACCCGGAUUUACUGGGUGUAAAGGGCGUGUAGGCGGUUUCUCAAGUCCGAUGCUAAAGACCGAAGCUCAACUUCGGGAGUGCGUUGGAUACUGUGAGGCUAGACGGUCGGAGAGGGUAGCGGAAUUUCCUGAGUAGCGGUGAAAUGCGCAGAUACAGGAAGGAACGCCAAUAGCGAAAGCAGCUACCUGGACGAUUUGUGACGCUGAGGCGCGAAAGCGUGGGGAGCAAACC